rnacentral:rRNA from 1 species
UGGGGAAUCUUGGACAAUGGGCGCAAGCCUGAUCCAGCCAUGCCGCGUGAGUGAAGAAGGCCUUAGGGUUGUAAAACUCUUUCGCCGGUGAAGAUAAUGACGGUAACCGGAGAAGAAGCCCCGGCUAACUUCGUGCCAGCAGCCGCGGUAAUACGAAGGGGGCUAGCGUUGUUCGGAAUUACUGGGCGUAAAGCGCACGUAGGCGGAUUGGUAAGUAGGGGGUGAAAUCCCCGGGCUCAACCCGGGAACUGCCUUCUAAACUGCCAGUCUUGAGGUCAGGAGAGGCGAGUGGAAUUCCGAGUGUAGAGGUGAAAUUCGUAGAUAUUCGGAGGAACACCAGUGGCGAAGGCGACUCGCUGGACUGAUACUGACGCUGAGGUGCGAAAGCGUGGGGAGCAAACAGG